GAAGCCAAAGACGAGGCCUGCCUCCGUCCUUCAGCUGCCCAGAGCAUUUAGUAUCUUACCAUUGUGUAAGAGCUGUCCACUUACGGUAUGCUGUUUGCUCAACAUAAACCUCACACUGCAAUGCAGGUUCUUUGUCCGAAACGCCCAUUAAAAUGGUGGGAUGGGUGGGGAAAGCUGGUUCCCAGCCCUGGACCUAGACAACAGCUACAAGAAAAUCAAGCCACACUUUGAGUGGCUAAGGAUGCUCACCAGUCUUUACAGUCAGCGACAAGCAAGUGAUUCCUAGCCUCCCAGGAGACAUCUCUUCCAAAGACCACCCUCCUUCCAGCCAGAAGCUCUUAGACUCUGAGCUAGCUUCCUCAAGGUGGUCUCUGUGCACGGGACAACGAGGGAAGAACACAGCAAACCGGAAUCUUCUGCGGCAAAGCUUUAUUGCUU
rnacentral:lncRNA from 1 species